rnacentral:lncRNA from 1 species
GGGAAGUCAAACGGGCUUGUUCCUCCUCUUGACAUUGCUAAUGAUCUUCAGAAGUGGAUGCCGUUUGAUACUGGUUUGGGGCCUCCUCAUCGCAGAUCAAACAGAUCGCACUUUCCACUGGACGCGGACAGAGGGUCUCAUCUCACUCCUAUUAGGCAUUUAGCUUUCUUCAAGAGAUGGAAAGAAUGGAAACAUCCUUUAUAGAAAUAAAAAUAAAAGCAAGGAUUCUCCCUUAAACACUUGGAUCUGCAACUUGAAGCUAUAUGGAAAAAUCUCAGCUGUCACGUGGCCCUGAUUAAAUUACAGUGCAACCAUAAUGCUUCUUCCUUCCUGCACCCACAGCCAGCAUGUCAUAAACGUGCCUGAGGUAUGGAGAAAGUCUGUCAGCUCGAAUGUCUGUUGUGGCACGACAAGUGAAAGCACCGGACUUUCUGUGUUGAAGACAGAGCAGCUUAGAGAUGGAGUUUCUCUGGGAAAAGUCCCUAGAGGUGCCAAUCACAGCAUGAGAAAAAGCCUGGCCUGGAAGAAGCUGCAAUCUCCACUCUGCCCAGUGGCUGGGGAUUACCAGCGCUUCCCGUGCCGCUGCCUGCUCCUGGAGCCUGGUGGAUGGGGGAGGACGGGUGCCUGCUUGUCUGCCACAGGUCUCAAAGGGUCUCUGAACCCUUCUGCGUGA